rnacentral:rRNA from 1 species
CCUACGGGAGGCAGCAGUAGGGAAUUUUGCGCAAUGGGGGAAACCCUGACGCAGCAACGCCGCGUGAUCGAUGAAGCCCUUCGGGGUGUAAAGCUCUGUCAGUGGGGACGAAAUAUGACGGUAUCCCCCGCGAAAGCACCGGCUAACUACGUGCCAGCAGCCGCGGUAUUACGGGGGGUGCAAGCGUUGUCCGGAAUCAUUGGGGGUAAAGAGUUCGUAGGUGGCACGGUAAGUCUGAUGUGAAAGGCCGAAGCUCAACCCUCGUAGGGCACUGGAUACUGGCUAGCUUGAAUGCAGGAGAGGUAAGUGGAAUUCCUGGUGUAGCGGUGAAAUGCGUAGAUAUCAGGAGGAACACCAGUGGCGAAGGCGGGUUACUGGACCGUAAUUGACACUGAGGAACGAAAGCGUGGGUAGCAAACAGGAUUAGAUACCCUAGUAGUC